AAAUUGAAGAGUUUGAUCAUGGCUCAGAUUGAACGCUGGCGGCAGGCCUAACACAUGCAAGUCGAACGGUAACAGGAAGAAGCUUGCUUCUUUGCUGACGAGUGGCGGACGGGUGAGUAAUGUCUGGGAAACUGCCUGAUGGAGGGGGAUAACUACUGGAAACGGUAGCUAAUACCGCAUAA
rnacentral:rRNA from 3 species